GCUGGCAUUUCCGUGGCAGAUUCCGUACCUACGGUAGCCAGGAAGGACCAAACCCGCCGGGUGUCCCAUGUGCUUUCACGGUUUGUUGUCAUUCGUAGUGAGCUGCUAUUAGCGGCUAUUUUUUUCUCUCUCUCUCUUUUGUUGCGAACCUGUUUCUGUACUCUUAUCUUAAAAUGAACUCAAAGACAAACGGGAAAGAAGACGAAGAUUGUCUGUUUCUUGAAAACGUGUUGGAUAAGCUUUAUGACUUUGGUAAUGGACCAGCAUCAAAAAAGAAGCUUAAGUCUCAGAAGAAGAAAAAACGAAAGCAGUGUGAGGAAGAGGAGGAAGAGUUCCCUACAGCCAAGGACAUUUGCACUGAAGACUACAGAGCAGCACAUGAGGGUAAUGGUCACCGGCUGCAGCAACCAGAGACUGAGCUGACAGGUCACACAGUCCAGCAGGCGAACCAGGUGGAGGUAGUGGCAUUUCAAGACCCCAGAAAAAAACAGAAGACCAAGCAGACACCAGCCAAAGACAAAAUGCCUCCCCUUCAGAUAACAGAGAAGAAGCAAAGCGAUCAGUCUGAAGAACUCAGUUUGGAAAAGGCUCGUCUGGAGGUCCAUCGGUUUGGAAUCACAGGCUAUAAGAAGGAGCAGCAGCGAGUUUUUGAGCAGGACAGAGCGAUCAUGCUGGGAGCCAGACGUCCUAAGAAGGACUAUGUCAACUACAGGGUGCUGCAGCAGCAGAUCAAAGAAAAGAAGCAGAAAGCAAAGGAGGAGGUUCAGCCGGACCUGAAGAAAAAGAAGAAGCACAAUAAUCAAAGGGACAAGAAGAAGGUGUCCUCUGGUCCUGGCUCAGCCCCCUCAGGUCAGAUGGGGCGCUUCAAGAACGGCAUGCUGAUCCUGAGCUCUAAGGAGAUCCAGAAAAUCAAAGGCGGCAAGGGGGGAAAAUAGGUUUGUUCUUGUGCUUCUACUAAGAGUAACUGAAAGAAAAAGUCAGAACACCUACUGGUCCUGGAGGUGAAUGUCGUCACUGAUUCCAACGUGUUCUUAUGUUUGUAGGUGAAUGAUUAAAACCUCCACAAUGGGAAAAUAUCAGCAGGCUAGAAAAAGAAUUGUCAACUCACUGCAGGACUGUUUGCAGCCAAACAGGUUGUGAAGAAGAAAUGGACAAGAGCUGAUUACAAUGUGACCUGUAAGGCUGCAGGCCAGUGACAACAUGUCACUGUCCUGCAGUGAAUUAUGGGACAGUGUUACUGGUGACAGUUACUGCUGAGUCAGAAAUCCAAUUUAUCAAUCUCCAAAAUGGACCCUGAACGUCCACCGUGGCAGCAUCUAAAUGCAUGAAACUGGACACUCUGCUGAAUCAUUUUCCAUUACAGUUAAUUUAUUCUGUUUUUAUAAAUGACAAAAGAAGACAUUUGCGUUUCUGGUGUUUUACACUGUAAAGGUUUUAAAAUUAUGCAGUUACAAUGCAUUUCUCAUAUACAAACCAUGUAGUCGUACAAAACAUUUACAUUGGCAAGAAGAGAGGGAAUCAUAACAGGACAGAUGGGGGUAGAAAAAAAAAACAAUGUACACACAAGUAAAGUCCUGGCAGAAGUUUUUAUGACAGAACACGCAUAUUAACAUUUUGAUUGGACCAUGAGAGAGCAGAAUGAUCUUGCCAGUGCAGUAAUUCUCCAUUAUUAACCUCAAGAGGCUGUGUUCUAGAUGUAAACAUCAACAUCAUCUUUACAGAAACCAGUUCUUUCCAUUUUGUUAACGGGAAAACAGAAAUGUUGAGGCAUAAUGAGAGAGACGAAACAGGACCUGUGAUCUGGCAGUGUGCGGCUGGGUGAGGUCACAAAUUCUCACACCGUUUUCAUGUAGAAGCUUUUCGUGUUAUUUAUAUAUUUCAAGAAGAAGCGCGUGAGGAAACAUGAAGCUUAUCUGCAGCACGUCACACGUUUCAAGCUGUAAGCAAACCAGUUUUAUUCUGAGGAGAUUCUGACGCCGGAAAACCUUUUUCAACCUGCAACCCUUGGCAAUCAACCAUAGACAGUAUAUAUAAUCAGCCAUUCAACUGUUACACUGAACAAAUUGAAGAAGGCAUCAUACAACAGAAAAUAAAUAAUUAUAUAAUUAAAUAUAUUUACAUACUUUAUAGAGUAGAUAUAUUUUUUUUUCCUCUGCUGUUUUUAAGCUGAAUAGCUAAUAACAGCAGUGACAUGCUUUUUCCCAGCACCAUAUGUUGAAGGUAAAUUAGUAAAAUAUGUCACAUUCAUGGGUGGGUAAGUGUGGGGUAAACAGACAUGCCAUACAAUACCACAUCUAGACAGGAGUGACUACAAGUGACCCAUUUUUAAAUGUGUGAUUUUUGUCUGUAUCUGUCAAAUAAUUUAAUACAAAUUUUAGAGAGGAAAAGAAAAGGUGGAACCCUUUUUUACCUGAAAAACACUCUGACUUCCUGAACCUCUGCAGCACCUCUGAGUCUAAGCGCCUUAGCAUAAGCUUUUAUUCCCUCCAGUCAAGAUUUCCUGUGUGCCAGUUUGACAUCAACAGAGCCUGCAGACAUGUAACCCCAAAUCAUCCAGACUUGCAGAAGAAAAAAAAAAGAUUCCCCUGAUUAAAUGGAUAGAGGUCUGACUUUGCUUGUGGGCCUAAAAGCUAUUCCUGGUUACAGAAAAGUCAAU